rnacentral:tRNA from 1 species
CCCUGGGUGGUCUAGUGGCUAAGACUCUGGACUCCCAAUGCAGGGGACCUGGGCUCGAUCCCUGGCUGGGGA